GCACCCAUAGCUCAGCUGGAUAGAGCGCUGCCCUCCGAAGGCAGAGGCCACAGGUUCGAAUCCUGUUGGGUGCACCA
rnacentral:tRNA from 1 species